rnacentral:rRNA from 1 species
CCUACGGGUGGCAGCAGUCGAGAAUCAUUCACAAUGGGGGAAACCCUGAUGGUGCGACGCCGCGUGGGGGAAUGCAGGUCUUCGGAUUGUAAACCCCUGUCAUGUGGGAGCAAAUUAAAAAGAUAGUACCACAAGAGGAAGAGACGGCUAACUCUGUGCCAGCAGCCGCGGUAAUACAGAGGUCUCAAGCGUUGUUCGGAAUCACUGGGCGUAAAGCGUGCGGGGGCUGUUUCGUAAGUCGUGUGUGAAAGGGGCGGGCUCAACCCGCGGACGGCACAUGAUACUGCGAGACUAGAGUAAUGGAGGGGGAACCGGAAUGCUCGGUGUAGCAGUGAAAUGCGUAGAUAUCGAGAGGAACACUGGUGGCGAAGGCGGGUUCCUGGACAUUAACUGACGCUGAGGCACGAAGGCCAGGGGAGCGAAAGGGAUUAGAUACCCGUGUAGUC